GUUUGUGGCUCAGUGGUAGAGCUUCUGGGUUGGCCUUCAGAAGGCUCCAGGGUCUAUCCCUGGCAUGUCCA
rnacentral:tRNA from 1 species